GAACCAGGACCCACCAACACUAUCGGAAUAAAAAGAACCACACGAGGGGAAGAGGAGGAGGUUUUGCGCUCAGGACCGGAGCCGGUCCAGCGGUCCAGCGCUCUGCUCUGUCCUGCGGUCAUGUUUGGAACCAGAAAGACCUGGGACCUCGGCGACGCCCCCUGCCUUCAGGAGCUCUGGAAGAAAGACCUCUCAUUGGACGAAUCGUGACGGAUAAGGAGGAGCUGGAGGCUGAACGACGCGGUGGUGGGGCCGGGUGUGUGUCGCGUGCCGCUGGUCUGAGAGAGAGGGGAAUGGUGAAGUG
ensembl:lncRNA